rnacentral:rRNA from 1 species
GAUCCUGGCUCAGGAUGAACGCUGGCGGCGUGCUUAACACAUGCAAGUCGAGCGAAGCAAUUUAAGUGAAGUUUUCGGAUGGAUCUUAAAUUGACUGAGCGGCGGACGGGUGAGUAACGCGUGGAUAACCUGCCUCACACAGGGGGAUAACAGUUAGAAAUGACUGCUAAUACCGCAUAAGCGCACGGUACCGCAUGGUACAGUGUGAAAAACUCCGGUGGUGUGAGAUGGACCCGCGU